rnacentral:rRNA from 2 species
GGGUUGUGAGGUUAAGCGACUAAGCGUACACGGUGGAUGCCCUGGCAGUCAGAGGCGAUGAAGGACGUGCUAAUCUGCGAUAAGCGUCGGUAAGGUGAUAUGAACCGUUAUAACCGGCGAUUUCCGAAUGGGGAAACCCAGUGUGAUUCGUCACACUAUCAUUAACUGAAUCCAUAGGUUAAUGAGGCGAACCGGGGGAACUGAAACAUCUAAGUACCCCGAGGAAAAGAAAUCAACCGA